rfam:Asian citrus Psyllid, Diaphorina citri - Florida Strain, whole genome shotgun sequence.
CGCAGUGGUGAUAGCACGUUGAAUUCACCAGUACCCUGCGGACCUCUGAAGUUAAGCAACGUUGCGCGUAGUUAGUAUCCGGAUGGGUGGCUGACUAUCUGGGCAUUCGCGUGCUUUUCCCG